rnacentral:rRNA from 1 species
UACGGAAGGCAGCAGUGGGGAAUAUUGCACAAUGGGCGAAAGCCUGAUGCAGCUAUGCCGCGUGUAUGAAGAAGGCCUUAGGGUUGUAAAGUACUUUCAUCGGGGAGGAAAAAACAAAACUAAUAAUUUUAUUUCUUGACGUUACCCGAAAAAGAAGCACCGGCUAACUCCGUGCCAGCAGCCGCGGUAAUACGGAGGGUGCUAGCGUUAAUCAGAAUUACUGGGCGUAAAGAGCACGUAGGUGGUUUUUUUAAGUCAGAUGUGAAAUCCCUGGGCUUAACCUGGAACUGCAUUUUGAAACUGAAAUACUAGAGUAUCGUAGAGGGAGGUAGAAUUCUAGGUGUAGCGGUGAAAUGCGUAGAUAUCUGGAGGAAUACCUGUGGCGAAAGCGGCCUCCUAAACGAAUACUGACACUGAGGUGCGAAAGCGUUGGGGAGCAAACAGGGAUUAGAUA